UUACUUACCUGGCAGGGGUAGUACCACGAUCAAGAAGGUGGUUCCCCCAGGAUGAGGCUCUUCUAUUGCACAUUUCAGUUGGGUUGACCCCUGUGAUUUCCCCAAGUCACCACAAUAAACAGAACAUGCUGGAGGAAUAGAUUCCUGCCCAGAGAC